CGAUUAACAAAUGCUAUAUUUCUUGAAAGAUUUAUUCAAACAAGACACAUGGGCCAAUGCAGUAUGAGUGCCUAUAGACAUUGUAGUUUGGCAGUCAAAACUUUAUUAUAUAGCAUUUUGUAUGCGUGAAAAUUCUGUUCAUAUCCCUUCAUCCCUAAAAAAACAAACAUAAAAACAAAAAAUCUGGAGAAAUUUGUCUUGAGUUACAGAGUGACGUCAGAUUGCCCAGUCUGCUUUUAUAUAUCUAUAAAAAGCCCUUAUGUAAGCUGAGUAGUCAACGAAUUUCACAGCAGACAAAUGGUAUAGGAUACAUAUAAACACAAGUAUUACAUAGCAAUCCAAGGCAGCCUAUUGCUGCCUAUUACAAAUUAUUAUGAGACGACGCAUUACUUUUUUUUUUGUCUUUGUCUUUUUUUUUUUUUUGCAGAUGCAAAAGCUGUACAAGAAACCGCUGAGUCUUCCUUUCACUUUCAGCGAAUGUGUUGGCAAAGCACUUGGAUACAAUGCAAUAUCAUUUAACAUUAAAUAUAUGAGUGCAUGUAUACCGUACAAGCUUCAAACACAUGGCAUAUAAUGUAAUUCAUCUGCUUGACGUUACAUUGUAUGGCAUGUGCUAGGUGAUUGCGAGGGGCGGGGGCAAGGGGUGCGGCCAUGAAAUCUGGAAGCUCUUCAAAAUUUUUCCGUUGGUCAAUCAUUGAAAAACACCGUACAAAAACGGACAGAAAACAAAGAAACAAUCGAACCAUACAACAUAAUCUAUAUAUUGCUCGGGAUCAUGGAGCCCAAGUAUGUCUACCAGGUUGCAUUCAGAUAACCUGCCGUAGAAUACUUGAUGAUUCUUUUAUAGAGAGGAAGUUUUACAAACAACAGUCAGUUAGCUCUGACUCGAGCGAGCAAUGCCACAGUCUGUCGUAAUCAGGAGAGAUUGAGUAAAUUCACUCUAAGCUGAUGAUCCAAAGCAGUCCCAGCAUUCUCACCGUUUUGGAUGUUUAAGCAUCAGUUAGGUGUACUCAGUUUCUCCUGAUUCAAGGCUUUUGGUCCUGCUUCAUAUCACAAAGUUGGAGACUUUGUGUUUAGGAUAUAAGUAGCGUUAUACGUCUGUGGCUCUUGUGUCUUGUUUCAGCUGUGUGUGGAUGUUGGUACAUGUAUGUCAUUUGCUUGAAGGGAGUCAUUAAGGUUCAUCCAUCGUUGAUGUAAAAACACAUCCUUCACUGUCCAUUCGCUGUCCAUUGGGAAAUUAACACUGAAAGGUGCCAUUGUUUUCCAGUACAUCAGCAAGAUUGCAGCUGUGAUACGGAUCUCACAAAAUGAACAAUUCAAGAAGCAGGCGUUCACAGCGCUCGCUGUCAGCCAUCUCCGCGAGACAUGACAGCUAACAAAAUCCGAGCAAAGCUUUCAAGUUGCCAGUCUCUUUCACUUUGCUGGUAGCCUGUCCUCAGGCUUUGCUUGUCCUGAAGGACUAACUCUGCUCCUUAAUUGCAAAUCCUGGAGCCUGUGUUGGCAUUCUGUUCAACCUCCGAGUUGUUGGGUAGCACAAGCUUCACGCCCUCUGAGGCCAGGCAGUGAGUACAAGGUCCAGUUCCUGAUUUUGUUGUUGUGCAAAUCAGAGUAAACACCAUAUUCGACUCCCAGCUACAGUCACAAAGCGUUUUUGAUAGCUGGUUGCUUGAAUGCACAGAGAUAAGACCCAGAAUGAAUGUUUUUAGACCACCCAGACAAGUCAGAAUGAAAAACAACCAUCGCGAUAUCGGCUGUGUUCGUACAGCCACGUUUCUCUUUUC
ensembl:lncRNA